GACUGCAGUGCGCGAGGAAGCUUCUGCCACGAAGAGUCAAAGAGAGACGCCCACAAUAUCUCCAUGGCCAAGCCGUCAGGCCACUGCUGAAUGGGGGCAUCUUUGCCCGUGGUACAUCCCUAGACGCAGCCCGUGGCACUGAAAGGUGGGCUCCUGCCUCCCGACACACAGGGUGAUGUAAGAGAAGAAGUAGGAAAUACCCGUGGAUGUGCCUGAAGGAUAAAACCAAAGCCUCAGCUGUGGCAGGGACGCCGGUGGGAAGCAGAAAGGACAGACAGACCAACUAUGGAUGCCUGUCUAGAAAAUUCACCGGCUUAAAAUAAAAGCAAUACAGAGGUGCUUAGCUCCACAGAUAAAAGAGCAGAUGUCAGAAGGCAGGAGUUCAGCGUGCCCACAGUCCGCUCUGAAACUUGUUCUAGCAUCACUCACAGACAGUAAGUUAAGAGGACUCCUACGUUUACAAGGAGGUUAUGGACAUUUGAGGGGUUUCCAUGAAUACAUGAACUGGUUUUACUUUUAUGUAAUUGUGUAGGGGUUUUAUUUUUUAGACUUGGACAAUGCAUAUGUAGGAAUGUUUUUGAGAGGGAAGGAAAGGAUGCACUUGAAAAAAACUUCUUUUUGGACCAGUAAAUUCUACAAGCUAAGGGAGCUUCCCCUGCUUUGUGAAGCUCCAAAGACGGGUAUCAAUAUCAGCUGUUUCAGAGCUCCCUCCUGAAUUGCACUUUUCCAACCAACGGCACAGGUUCCUCAGGAGUAAACUUCAAACAACAAGCUGCAGUAAUAACACCUGGCUAAAUGUUGAAAAGGAGAAUAUGCCAUAGCCAAGAUUUCAUGCAAACCGUAGCUCUCCCAGGACUUGCACACCUCAUUCACCUUCAGCAGGCUCGCUCAUUUGAAGGAGGGCACCCAAGAAUGGGCGCUCCCGGGGAUCAAAUGUAUCCGAAACCUGUCCUGCGGAGCAGCGCUUGGUAUUGUCAUGUGAAACUUUCUGUCCCAGACAAGACUGGGCUCAAGCUUGUAGGAAAAGUAGCGGGGGUGGGAGGGGCAGUUUGUUUUUAACAAAACAAAGUUAUGCAAUAUCUUGUAGUGCUGACAUGUUCCCAACAUGCCGCAAAUGAAGAACUCACUAAAUACGGUGUAUCUCUGGCCAUAUCAUUUGAAUACAUCUUGUUUCCAUGGCAACCUCACUUAACAGCUUGGCUGAUAUGAAAUCAUUCCUAGAUGGGGGAGCUUUUGCCAAAAGCAUUGGAUUCAACACUUUAAUACCCUGUUUUAGGCUUUUUAAAACAUUUAUUUAAAUCUGUGGAGGCAAAUAUCAAAUAAAAUCCCUUCAGCCUCACCUCUGCUUUGGCCUUUGGUUGAUUAGUCUAUCUUCCUAGGAGCCUGUCAUAAGCAGGUCUUGUGUUUCUGAGUAUGCUUCUAGAGUCACAGUGAUUCUAGAGCAAGUGCUCGUGAUCGGGUACCAGCAUUUGGUCCAGAAAUUACGUUUCAGGGCUGUUGGCUGAUCCUGUGACCGCAGGGGCACCAGCAGCCUGGUGACCGCUCA